rfam:Canis lupus familiaris chromosome 15, whole genome shotgun sequence.
AUACUUACCUGGCAGAGGAGUGGUUUUCCCAGGGCUAAGCUUAUCCAUUGCACUCCAGAUGUACUGAUGCUUGAGAUUUCCCCAAAUGUGCGAAACUUGACUGCAUAAUUUGUGAUUUAUGGUAGUCAGGGACUGCAUUAGUGCUCUCCCCUC